GGGGUUGUGGCUCUGUGGUAGAGCACUUGCCUAGCAAGUCAGAGACACUGGGUUCCAUCCUCAGCACCACA
rnacentral:tRNA from 1 species